CACCCUGGAGGAUACCUACCUAGAGAUCUGCUAGAGGCUUCUGGUUCUAUUCAUGGGCUUGAAGAAAGCAAUCCAGCAACAAGAACUGCUCAGGAGAUAGCCCUGGCACCAAUCCCUGACAUCCUAGGGGCGACUACACAGUAAUUCUCAUUCUAAAUGCAUCAGGAAGCUCUCCGUCAUACUUCUUUCAAGGUCUUCAGGGCUUCAGCUGCCCCAGAAAGAGGAACAAAAAAGCACACUGAAAACAUUGAAAGAGAGGACUGGAGGAGAAAGAUGAAAGGAGAUGAGUAGGUGUGGGAAAAAGAGACAGAACAAGCACAGCUGUAGAGUCAGAACAGACUACAUAUUUAUUUUCUUUAAAAAGGCAUGUAAAGCUCCUCUGGGAAAGCACUGUCCACUGCCCAAGACAGCAUGCUAGAGUAGAUGGAGUGACAGCCUAAUGCAUUUAAACAACAUCUAGGUGCAAGUGAAAUAAAAUGGAGGCAACCUUUUCCUUCUUGUGCAAGUAAGACAGGGAAAUCUCCUGGGCUCUCGGGUUGAUCACAGGAAAGACAGCUGUGCUCAGACUCCAGCAGAAGUGGCAUGUGGCUCUCUUUGGAGCAGGAAAUGGGGGAACCAAGACCAGCCAUUCUGAAAUUGCCUCUUCAAGAUUCAAAAACUGUGUCAUCAUUAAGAUUCAGAGCUAACAGUCAGAGGAAAGCCAAAGGACAGGUAUAGAAGGUCAUCUCAGCAGGAUUUUCCAGCAAGACUAUCACUGCAUCAACACUUUCCAGUGGACCAUAACUUCCCUGUCAAAGAGGACAAGAAAGACUAAGCUAUGAUCUUGCAUGACCUUUUGUCUCCUAGUUUUCUUUCUUGACACUUCAUACUGUUUCUCCUUCCAUGAUUACGGUCCUACCACACCCCUCUCUUUCUCAUCGAUGGAGGAAAUAAGGUAUCUACUACUCAGCAUCAAUGCAGUAAAAAAAAAAAAAAAAAAAAAAAAAGGGGGAGCUACUUCAACUGUAGAAGAAAUGGAUAUUUUAUUUUCAAGUACAUGAAGCAAGAAUACUGCCUAAAGACAUGAGAUGUUAAAAAAAUGGUAUACACCUGUUUUUAGCUGCCUUUGAGAGGUUGUAAAGCACCUCACUGCAACGCUAGCCAAGUCAAUGAGUGAAAUUCUCUUCUGUAACACCUCAGAAAUGCAGAAAGUCUUCAGUGCUGCUGUACACUCCUGGGGGUAAAAAGUGAUUCAAUGUGUAAAGGGGUAUUCUGAAAGAAUGGUUAUAUAUAUUACUAGCUGAAUUUAAUUUCUUAAUUUUAACUCAGAUGUAGAGAUUUAACUAAUAUUUUGCUCUUUUUUUUACUAAAAAAUACAGUGGAAUUUGAUCAAUUGAAAGAUAAGAUAGAAGGAAUACUAGCAAUUAAAACUCUAAAUAGUAGCUUUUGGGGACUGAAAAUAUUAAUGGAUUAUGGCUAUGUUCAGCAAGUACUAUUACAGCAAAAUUUUUUUAAAUGAGGGCAACUGUUAGCGUCUUUCAGAUUGUCAGUAUCAAAAGGAUAACCUCCAACACAAAAACUAUGUACAUUCACAAAAAGUCAAAAAUACACAGAUAUAUCCUGAUGGAUAAUUAAAGUUUUCUGCUCUGUCAUUUGUAAUGCCUGUUGUCUUUUUUUUUGUGCAUCCCAGAAAGGCUGUGCCGAAGAGAUCCCCAAAAUUUGUCAGAGUUAACUAUAUCACUAAACUUCACAAAGCUACCACUGCUGAUGAUUAAUCAAAUUUUGCUCUAAAUAGGAUUAAUUCGGGUGUAUCUGCGAAGAAGCUUGUCAGAGUGCACGUCCCUCUUCUCAUCUGUCCUCGGGUCUUUUUUUCUUGCUGAAUUUAAAAUGAUGCUUGAGCUAUAAUCUUGCAUGGCAGAUACUGGAUCGUUCCUUUGAUAAACAUCUAAAAUGCUAAUGAAUGUGGGCUGCAGUUCUGAAACAGCAAAGCAAAUGAUUU